AGAGCAGCGUGGCGGGGGCCGGGGUAACAGGGAGGGGGGAAGCGUUGGCCGGAUGUAGUGGGCGUAAAGCGCGCGUAGGGGGUUCGGUAAGUCGGGUGUGAAACCUCCAGGCUGAACCUGGGGAAGCCACCCGAUACUGCUGGGACUAGAGUCCGGUAGGGGAGCGUGGAAUUCCUGGUGUAGCGGUGAAAUGCGCAGAGAUCAGGAGGAACACCAGCGGCGAAGGCGGCGCUCUGGGCCGGAACUGACGCUGAGGAGCGAAAGCGUGGGUAGCAAACAGGAUUAGAUACCCCAGUAGUC
rnacentral:rRNA from 1 species